UUUCUCUCUCUCUCUCUCUACCAUGUUAACCAAACAUCUUGCACAAGUUUUGGACACAUUAAACAUGAAGGCUCUUCUAAUAUGGGUUGUUUUGCUGAACUUUUACAAACUCCUUAAGACAAGUGACUGCACUUCAACACAAACCUGAGCCCUAGGACCAUACGUCAGGACUACUGGGCAUGCUGACACCUUGCUGUCCCCAGUCCGCCUGGCCUUGCUGCUAUUCCAGUUUCAACUGUUCUGCCUGCGGUUACGAAACCCCUACCUGUCCCAGACCUGCUGUUUUCAACUCUUAAUGAUCGGCUAUGAAAAGCCAACUGAGAUGACCUGAGCCCUAGGACCAUACGUCGGGACUACCGGCCGUGGUGACUCCUUGCUGUCCCCAGUCCGCCUGGCCUUGCUGCUAUUCCAGUUUCAACUGUUCUGCCUGCGGUUAUGGAACCCCUACCUGUCCCAGACCUGCUGUUUUCAACUCUUAAUGAUCGGCUAUGAAAAGCCAACUGAGAUUUAUUCCUGAUUAUUAUUUGACCAUGCUUGUCAUUUAUGAACAUUUUGAAAAUCUUGGCUCUCUCUAAUUUUCUCCUUCUCUCUUUCUUUCUCUCGGAGGACCUGGGCCCUGGGACCAUGCGUCGGGACUGCCGCCCGUGGUGACUCCUUGCUGUCCCCAGUCCGCCUGGCCUUGCUGCUAUUCCAGUUUCAGCUGUUCUGCCUGCGGUUAUGGAACCGCCACCUGUCCCAGACCUGUUGUUUUUCAACUCUUAAUGAUCAGCUAUGAAAAGCCAACUGAAAAUUAUUCAUGAUUAUUAUUUGACCAUGCUUGUCACUUAUGAACAUUUUUGAACAUCUUGGCAUAGUUCUGUUAUAAUCUCCACCCGGCACAGCCAGAAGAGGACUGGCCACCCCUCAUAGCCUGGUUCCUCUCUAGGUUUCUUCCUAGGUUUUGGCCUUUCUAGGGAGUUUUUCCUAGCCACCGUGCUUCUACACCUGCAUUACUAGCUGUUUGGGGUUUUAGGCUGGGUUUCUGUACAGCACUUCAAGAUAUUAGCUGAUGUACGAAGGGCUAUAUAAAAUAAAAUUGAUUGAUUGAUUGAGUGGUGUAAAGCUCGCUGCCAUUGGACUCUGGAGCAGUGGAAAUGGACAAAUCAGUGUUUGGCUGAUGGCAGGAGAACGCUGCCUGCCCGAAUGCAUAGUGCCAACUGGAAAUUUUGGUGGAGGAGGAAUAAUGGUCUGGGUCUGUUUUUCAUGGUUCAAGCUAGGCCUCUUAGUUCCAGUGAAGGGAAAUCUUAAAGCUACAGCAUACAAUGACAUUCUAGACAAUUCUGUGCUUACAACUUUGUGGAAACAGUUUGGGGAAGGCCCUUUCUUGUUUCAGCAUGAUAAUGCCCCAGUGUACAAAGCGAGGUCCAUACAGAAGUGGUUUGUUGAGAUAGGUGUGGAAGGACUUGGCUGGCCUGCACAGAGCCCUGACCUCAAACCCAUCAUACACCUUUGGGAUGAAUUGGAACACAACUGCGAGCCAGGCUAAUCGCCCAACAUCAGUGCCCGACCUCACUAAUGCCCUUGUGGCUGAAUGAAAGCAAGUCCCCGCAGCAAUGUUCCAACAUCUAGUGGAAAGCCUUCCCAGAAGAGUGGAGGCUCUUAUAGCAGCAAAGGGGGAACCAACUCCAUAUUGAUGGCCAUGAUUUUGGAAUGAGAUGUUCGACGAGCAGGUGUCCGCAUACUUUUGGUCAUGUAGCGUAUGUCAGAGAGAACAUGGAAGCUCAGCAAGAUGGCUGGAGCUGGUGCUCAUCAUCCAGGGGAACAACACAAACACACACAUCAAAUCUCUUAGAGCUUGAAAAAGCAACUGAACAUGUAACCAAAGCUGAGACAAAAAUAAAGAUGAGGUUGCAAGAGAAGAAAACAUCUGUCAGAUUGGUGUUAUAAUAGCAAUGUGUGCCUCAGUAUAUUUUCAUUUGAUGGAAGAGAUACCCUCUGGAGCUGCUGCAGUGUGUUCUACUGGCUGGGAUCAUAGGCCUCUGUGUCUACUGUGAUAGGUACAACAACCUGACUGAAGAGAGACCAACUAGAGACCAGCCACAACAGCCUGACUUAGAGAGCAUACCAGCUUCAGAGAGAGACAGAAAGACUGAGACCUUGGUAAUAGGGUUUCUAUUAGCCGAUAUGUUUCGACUUUGAGGUUGAGCAGUAAAUGCAUCUUCCCCUUCAAGUCUGAACGAUCCUCAGCCAUAUGGAAGAUGUGCCUGUACUCCUAAUGAUCUCAUUAUCCGAUGUGGAAAAUCAAGAAGAUUGAAAUACUGCUCGUUCUAGCAUUAGCUAGCCUAGCAUGCUGACGAAAAAGGCAGUUAAGUAAAAAAGAGCAGUAAUUCAAUCUUCUUGAUUUUCUAUAUCUAUUCAUCAUCAAUUGCAGUAUUAGUAAGUGUUGAUGAUAAUAGUUCUAAUCACACUUAAUAACUAUUAGUAAAUAUCCAAUUCAUUAUGUGUAUGUUUUCUAAAUGAUCUCAUGAACCAAUAACUCCUUUACAGCUGGUUUGUAAUUGAAAUAAUAAAUAAUUUAUAAAGUAUGAAAAUACAAUUAACAGACACCUUAGUCAUUAUUUUAUUAUAUUAAACAUGACAAAUAUGUUGUAACAGUGUUUAUGAAAAUAAUGUUUAAUUGACAUUUUUAUGUUUGUGCUUUUCUAAUAACCAAUUUCUCUGUUCUAUUGAUGUGCUUUUCUAAUAACCAAUUUCUGUGUUCAUGAGUGACUCAUUGAACGAAUCCUCACUAUCAGUAUCUGCAAUUUAGCAGUAUGCCCAGAAACUUGUUUUGAGAAAGGGUUAUCUCAGUUUCAAGGUCUCAGCUUUGAGAGAAGAAGCCUUGUGAGUUAUUAGUCUGUCACAUGCACGACCCAGUAUUGGUCGAUCACAUGAAAGAAGUAAACAUUAAUGAUUAAUUAAUUAUGAACGAUGAAUAAGCUAAAUCAUGCAAAUAUAAUUUGUCUGUAUAUAAGAGAACUAACAGGACUGCCCCAGGUAGAGCUCCUGAUCGACAUGUGUACUUGGUGCACUGAGUUGGUUGGAACCUCUCCAGCACGAUGAUAAUAAAGAAUUAUUGAUUUUAGAUGUA